AGUGAACGCUGGCGGUAGGCCUAACACAUGCCAGUCGAACGGCAGCACAGUAGAGCUUGCUCUCUGGGUGGCGAGUGGCGGACGGGUGACGAAUCCAUCGGAAUCUACCCUGUCGUGGGGGAUAACGUAGGGAAACUUACGCUAAUACCGCAUACGACCUACGGGUGAAAGCAGGGGCCCUUCGGGCCUUGCGCGUUUGCAUGAGCCGAGGUCGGAGUAGCUAGUUGGCGGGGUAAAGGCCCACCAAGGCGAGGCUCCGUGGCUGGUCUGAGAGGAUGAUCAGCCACACUGGAACUGAGACACGGUCCAGACUCCUACGGGAGGGAGCAGUGGGGAAUAUUGGACGAUGGGCGCAAGCCUGAUCCAGCCAUACCGCGUGGGUGAAGAAGGCCUUCGGGUUGUAAAGCCCUUCUGGUGGGAAAGAAAUCCAGCUGGCUAAUACCCGGUUGGGAUGACGGUACCCAAAGAAUAAGCACCGGCUAACUUCGUGCCAGCAGCCGCCGUAA
rnacentral:rRNA from 1 species